rnacentral:rRNA from 9 species
UUUGACCUCAAAUCAGGUAGGACUACCCGCUGAA